rnacentral:rRNA from 1 species
GAGUUUGAUCGUGGCUCAGAUUGAACGCUGGCGGCAUGCCUUACACAUGCAAGUCGAACGGUAACAGGUCUUCGGAUGCUGACGAGUGGCGAACGGGUGAGUAAUACAUCGGAACGUGCCCAGACGUGGGGGAUAACGAGGCGAAAGCUUUGCUAAUACCGCAUACGAUCUAAGGAUGAAAGCAGGGACCGCAAGGCCUUGCGCGUUUGGAGCGGCCGAUGGCAGAUUAGGUAGUUGGUGGGAUAAAAGCUUACCAAGCCGACGAUCUGUAGCUGGUCUGAGAGGACGACCAGCCACACUGGGACUGAGACACGGCCCAGACUCCUACGGGAGGCAGCAGUGGGGAAUUUUGGACAAUGGGCGAAAGCCUGAUCCAGCAAUGCCGCGUGCAGGAUGAAGGCCUUCGGUUGUAAC